rnacentral:lncRNA from 1 species
CAAAAAUUAACUCAUUUGAAACGGAACCGGUUCAUUUGAAUCAAAUCACCUUCAGGUUUCUUUUUGGAAUCCAUUUUUGUAACUCUUCCAAAAUGCCUCAAACUUAAUUACUCAAUCAAAAGUCUAGAUUCUUUUAAAAUCACUAAAAGCUCAUUUUUAUAUUGAAAUCAAUAUUAGAGCAUCAUUCUUUCCUUCAGUGAUUCAAACUGUACAAAUAGUUCAUUUCUAACUAAGCCGAACUCAACGCAUAAAGUUCAUUAAACAAAUUAAGCUUGAAAACAUAAAUAUUCAAAUAAUAUAAUUCCUCAAAUCCAACCCUUUUUAAACAUCUUUUCAAACAAGACUAGGAUUUUGUAGAAAUUUCGGCAGCACCUCCCCUAAAACUUGGACUUUUGCCACCCGGUUCGGGUCCCAACUAA